AUUGAACGCUGGCGGAAUGCUUUACACAUGCAAGUCGAACGGCAGCACGGGGGCAACCCUGGUGGCGGGUGGCGAACGGGUGAGUAAUACAUCGGAACGUGCCCAGUCGUGGGGGAUAACGUAGCGAAAGUUACGCUAAUACCGCAUACGAUCUACGGAUGAAAGCGGGGGACCGUAAGGCCUCGCGCGAUUGGAGCGGCCGAUGUCAGAUUAGGUAGUUGGUGGGGUAAAGGCUCACCAAGCCGACGAUCUGUAGCUGGUCUGAGAGGACGACCAGCCACACUGGGACUGAGACACGGCCCAGACUCCUACGGGAGGCAGCAGUGGGGAAUUUUGGACAAUAGGCGCAAGCCUGAUCCAGCCAUUCCGCGUGCAGGACGAAGGCCUUCGGGUUGUAAACUGCUUUUGUACGGAACGAAAAGGCUCUGGUUAAUACCUGGGGCUCAUGACGGUACCGUAAGAAUAAGCACCGGCUAACUACGUGCCAGCCGCCGCGGUAA
rnacentral:rRNA from 1 species